UUCGGUCUAAUGUACGACCCAGUGUGGCAACCAUGUCUUCAAAUUGGCCUAAUGUACGGCUCGAUCUGAAGCUUUCGUCAUCAAACCUCCCGGAUGGCAUCUUUAAGCCCAUCUCCAUCAAGACCAACUGUCGAUUCUCAAGUGCAAAUUUUUGGGGCUUCUAGUGUUCAAUAAUCUUCCACCUCCAGACCACGAAUGGCAUACACGCCAUCCUAACUCUCUCGGUUCAAGAA
rnacentral:lncRNA from 1 species